AAUGAUCCGGGUCCUCCUUGAAGUUAGACUACCUACUUCUGGAGCAACAAACUCCCAUGGUGUGACGGGCGGUGUGUACAAGGCCCGGGAACGUAUUCACCGCGGCAUUCUGAUCCGCGAUUACUAGCGAUUCCGACUUCACGCAGUCGAGUUGCAGACUGCGAUCCGGACUACGAUCGGCUUUUUGAGAUUAGCAUCCCCUCGCUGGGUAGCAACCCUUUGUACCGACCAUUGUAGCACGUGUGUAGCCCUGGCCGUAAGGGCCAUGAUGACUUGACGUCGUCCCCGCCUUCCUCCAGUUUGUCACUGGGCAGUAUCCUUAAAGUUCCCAUCCCGAAAAUGCUGGCAAGUAAGGAAAAGGGUUGCGCUCGUUGCGGGACUUAACCCAACAUCUCACGACACGAGCUGACGACAGCCAUGCAGCACCUGUAUGUUGAUUCCCGAAGGCACCUUUCCAUCUCUGGAAAGUUUCUACUAUGUCAAGGCCAGGUAAGGUUCUUCGCGUUGCAUCGAAUAAACC
rnacentral:rRNA from 1 species